rnacentral:rRNA from 1 species
UACGUAGGGGGCAAGCGUUAUCCGGAAUCAUUGGGCGUAAAGCGCGUGUAGGCGGUUCCGUAAGUCCGCUCUGAAAGCCCAGGGCUCAACCCUGGGAGGCGGGUGGAUACUACGGAACUGGAGUACGGAAGAGGAGAUUGGAAUUCCUGGUGUAGCGGUGAAAUGCGCAGAUAUCAGGAAGAACACCGGUGGCGAAGGCGGCUCACUGGCUCAUUACUGACGCUCAGGCGCGACAGCGUGGGGAUCAAACAGG